rnacentral:rRNA from 1 species
UACGUAGGGUGCGAGCGUUAAUCGGAAUUACUGGGCGUAAAGCGUGCGCAGGCGGUUUUGUAAGCCAGAUGUGAAAUCCCCGGGCUCAACCUGGGAAUUGCAUUUGUGACUGCACGGCUAGAGUGUGUCAGAGGGGGGGUAGAAUUCCACGUGUAGCAGUGAAAUGCGUAGAGAUGUGGAGGAACACCGAUGGCGAAGGCAGCCUCCUGGGCUAGUACUGACGCUCAUGCACGAAAGCGUGGGGAGCAAACAGG